GGCGGGGUGACCCGGGGAAGGGGCGCGCACAGAGACAGAGGGAGCCAGCCGGGCCCCACGGUGUCCUCGGACGCCUCCGAAAUCUCCCUGCGUGUUUGUUUCUUCGGAGCUUCACCGGAGCCUGACUCUGGAACCGGCCUGUCUGCCUGCUGCAGUCUGCACAUCUUCACAAUGAAAUCUUCACAAGCUCAGAACCAUCAACUUGCUACACUGUGUUCCUCCAGUGCCCAGUUCACAGGAAGCACUCAAGAGUAGGAUCAAUUGUUAUCAACCUCUAGCAGAUUAUUGAAUAGACGGUCGUUACAUGAAACUGACACUCAGUUCUUCAUGGUCCACGAUAGUUCUUAUAUCCAGAAAACGUACUUACGUUAUCAACUCUGACUCCAUAAGACAACUUUGCAAAGUCUUGGCUCAUAACUAUGUAAGCAAUGAGAUAACUUACUUUUCAUUUCUCACUUGUUACUUACAAGUAAACAGCCCUGCAGCUCAGCUGAGCUACAGAUUAACUACAGGUAAUCACUUCAGCGAUUCUGCUUUACCCAUGCCCAAGAUUUUAAAAAAGAACCUGACAGAUCAUUAAAUUUUGAGAUUUGCUUUUUAAAAUGCAGGUUCCAUAAAGUUACGCUGUUUUGCUUAUAUAUACAGCAACAAAUGCCUUCUUAGAUAUUUACUUUAAAAUUCUAGUUUCCUUACCAUGUAUUAGCCAGAUAAUCUGUCAUUUUUUAAAUUCUGAAAUUGUACACAUAUAAAUUAAUGUACAUCUCUAUGCCUGAAAGGUACAUUUGGAAUUACAACGUGUGUCAAGGUAGAGCAAAAUCCCCCAGUCCACUCCUUCCAACCCCCUAGAAAUUUACUCUGUUUGGUUUCCUCUUGAUUGUCUUUAAUUAACAAUAAGUAUGUCACAUAGGUAUCAAAUAAAAUAAGAAAAAAAAUAGAUAAAAGAGAAGUGAUUCAAAAUUCAAGUGUUUAAACACUUUAUGAAUCUUCCCGUUGUUCUUGACACAUUUUUAAAAUUUCAUUUUAAUUCAGAUCAUUAGGGAUGAAAUUCUCCUGAAUUGUAGCAUUUUAUUCCCUUUGGGAAGAAGGGGCUGAAUUUGGCAUAAUUAUACUUGACUAUACCGUAAAAGAAACCAGAUCUAAUAUAAGGACAUCAAUACUUAGUUAUUAAUUCAUUUGCUUAUAUUUAUAUGUCAUUUGAAAAUGUGUAUUAACAUACACAAUUAAAGGGAUAUAAAAAUGAACAUGCCCUCUCCAUUUCUUUAAAAGAAAUCAAGGCUGAAUCAAAC
rnacentral:lncRNA from 1 species